UCAUUAAUGAAUUUUAGGACGUUCUUUUUAGAAGUCCGACCCUUUCAUUUUCUUACACUGUGCACACACUUCUUUUUUACACACACUUUAACACAUUAGUAUAAGAAUGUAAUAGUCUCUUAAUUGAGCAUAAAUAAAAUUAAAACUUUCAGCAACGGAUCUCUUGGCUCUCGCAUCGAUGAAGAACGCAGCGAAUUGCGAUAAGUAAUGUGAAUUGCAGAAUUCAGUGAAUCAUCGAAUCUUUGAACGCACCUUGCACUCUUUGGUAUUCCGAAGAGUAUGUCUGUUUGAGUGUCAUGAAACUCUCAACCCCCUUAUUUUGUAAUGAAAUGAGUGUGGGCUUGGAUUAUGGUUGUCUGUCGGCGUAAUUGCCGGCUCAACUGAAAUACACGAGCAACCCCUAUUGAAAUAGACGGUUUGACUUGGCGUAAUAAUUAUUUCGCUAAGGACGUCUUCUUCAAAUAUAAGAGGUGCUUCUAAUGCGCUUUUAAAGCAAUUUAAACUUUAGACCUCAAAUCAGUCAGGACUACCCGCUGAACUUAAGCAUAUCAAUAAGCGGAGGAAAAGAAACUAACAAGGAUUCCCCUAGUAACGGCGAGUGAAGUGGGAAAAGCUCAACUUUGAAAUCUGGCACCUUCGGUGUCCGAGUUGUAGUCUCAAGAAGUGUUUUCUGUGCUGGUCCAUGUAUGAGUCUGUUGGAACACAGCGUCAUAGAGGGUGACAACCCCGUUCAUGACAUGGAUACCAGUGCUUUGUGAUACACUCUCGAAGAGUCGAGUUGUUUGGGAAUGCAGCUCAAAUUGGGUGGUAAAUUCCAUCUAAAGCUAAAUAUUG
rnacentral:sRNA from 1 species